AUGUUCUGCUCCUUGCGGCGGUUGCCGGCGCACACGAGCGUGACGGGGAACUCGACGGCCUGGAACCCCGUGACGAGCUCCUCCAUGGUGAGCUUGACGGGGCGCUUGACGAGGCCGGUGACCUCGACGGUCCAGGUGGACCAGUCGGCCCUGGGCACGGCGCCGUGGUUGCGCACGUAG
rnacentral:rRNA from 1 species